rnacentral:rRNA from 1 species
CCCUUAGAUGUCCUGGGCCGCACGCGCGCUACACUGAGUGUCUGAGAUACGAGUCUGCCUGGUCCGGCAAGGUCUAGGUAAUCGCUAAAAGACACAUCAUGCUUGGGAUAGAUUAUUGCAAAUAUUAAUCUUGAACGAGGAAUUCCUAGUAAGCGCAAGUCAACAGCUUGCGUUGAUUACGUCCCUGCCCUUCGUACACACCGCCCGUCGCUACUACUGAUUGGAUGUUUAAGCGAGGUUCUCGAACUGCUAGCGACUUAGCUUCGGUGAGGUCGCAGUGUGGGAAGUGAACCUAGCUUUGGUGUCUAGAGGAAGUAAAAGUCGUAACA